UAAAAAUCCUGAAAGAACAAAAUGUUUAAUAUAGAUUCAAGUAAACGUUCUAUAAAAUCCAUCGACUUUAGUUUGGUUUUUGUGAAGUUAUUAGCUUUCAAAGUCAGAGCAAGCGUAAUUCUCAGUCCACUUUGCCGUGGUUCCCAAUUGUUCAACCGUAGGCCCACUCUAUUUCAUAUAUUCAUAAAUUCUUAUUUUGUUAUUUGAGAGUGUUUUUGUACUUCACCCGCUAAAACCUGAACAGAUGGAAAUUUGUUUACUUAAGCUAUGUUCUUGUUAACUCUUCCAUCCUAAAUCAGCACAACUAAUUCAAAACAAACGAUAUUCCUGGAUUGAGUUUGCUCUUAGGGCUGGACCCUUCACAGAAUGUAGUUGUAGAAUAUCAUCUGAAGGCUGGAUGACACUUGCUUGUUGGUUUUUCCUUAGGUUUUAAUUUAACUUUUGGAAUGUGACAGGUCCAACAUCUAUUUUAUUUGUAUUAGUGCCUUCACAUAUGGAAAAAGGGUGCCCUUUACUUUGCUCCUAUUUCUUGAGUGACCUACUGUAUGGAGAACUUGGCAGUUGUUAAUGAAAUACACCAGUACAAGCCAAGUAGCUUGGAAGGAUUUCAUGAAAAAGGUGGACUCAUGUAUCAAGGAUUUUUAUGACUGCUUCAAGCUGCAAAAGAGUAAGUGGAUUUAAAAGACAAUUCUAAUACUACUAUUUUUGCUUAGGAAUAUAUUUUUUAGAGAAAAGAUAAAGGCAAGAUAAAAAUUACUUUCUUGCCCAGUCAUAAUGAGAUAGGAAUUUAGCAUUUUAUAAAUUGUUCAAAGGGGAGUGAUGCUCGAAUUGUAUAGUACAAGGUUGUUAUUAAAAUAUGUUAAGGGGUUUGAAAUAUACAGUACCGAUGUUUGGAAAACAGUUACAUGUAGAUCAAUUUGCAAAAAAAAAUCAUGUAAGACAUAUUAUUUAAUAAAUAACAGGUAUUCUAUUACAAAUAUCACCAUGGACCUUUUGGUAAAAAUUGAAGCUACAAUCCACAGAGCAUAAAUGCUUUAAAAAACGAUAGA